AUUGUCUCUGUCUCUCUCUUUCUCCUCUGCUUCCCCUCACCCCACAACCAAAGUCAAGAGCGCAGACCCCAUGAUCACCUGAUACUUCCAAGCAAGCAGGUGUUCUUUUCAGAAGCCAGAAGCUGAUAACCUGGGCUUUCUGAUCUAACCCCAGCCCAAAUUCAUUGCAAUGGAGGAAUUGGGGAGGAGAUUCUUCCUACUGAGAAUGCUCCUGCCUGAUUGUAUCUACUUAACCCACUCUCCAAGAGCCAGAAUCAGAUUUCAACCGUAUGGAAUCAUCUACAAUGCAGCAGAUGGGUUUACAAGUCUCUUGGUCUCUUCAUGUAAUUAACAGCCAAGAAGUCUAAAGCUUGCAUUGUUUACGUGGAAGAUGUUUCUUGCCCAUUCCCAUGCCAUGCCAUCUGAAAUCGCUCCUUUUUUUAUUUUUUCUGUGCAGUUUUUUUAACUUUGUGGGAUCCUCUGCAUAUAAAACUCCAUUCAACUACUUCA
rnacentral:lncRNA from 1 species